rnacentral:tRNA from 1 species
GGAAGAGAAUCGUCCCUGGUGGGGCGGCCGGACUUCAAAUCCGGUUGGGGCCGCGAGACGGUCUCAGGUGGGUUCGACUCCCAUUCUCUUCCGCCA